rnacentral:rRNA from 1 species
GAUGAACGCUAGCGGCAGGCUUAAUACAUGCAAGUCGAGGGGCAGCAUGAGUGUAGCAAUACAUUUGAUGGCGACCGGCAAACGGGUGCGGAACACGUACACAACCUUCCUAUAAGUGGGGAAUAGCCCAGAGAAAUUUGGAUUAAUACCCCGUAACAUAAUGAUGUGGCAUCACAUUAUUAUUAUAGCUACGGCGCUUAUUGAUGGGUGUGCGGCUGAUUAGAUAGUUGGUGGGGUAACGGCCCACCAAGUCUACGAUCAGUAGCUGAUGUGAGAGCAUGAUCGGCCACACGGGCACUGAGACACGGGCCCGACUCCGACGGAAGGCAGCAGUAAGGAAUAUUGGUCAAUGGACGCAAGUCUGAACCAGCCAUGCCGCGUGAAGGAUUAAGGUCCUCUGGAUUGUAAACUUCUUUUAUCUGGGACGAAAAAAGGCGAUUCUUCGUCACUUGACGGUACCAGAUGAAUAAGCACCGGCUAACUCCGUGCCAGCCGCCGCCGUAAUAC